GUGAUACUCAAACUAUGGGGCACUUUGUGUUCUGGAAAAUAGUGCCGCCAGGUUUUGAGCACUAC
rfam:Cricetulus griseus cell line CHO-K1, whole genome shotgun sequence.